GUCUGUAGCUCAGUGGUAGAGUGCUUGCCUUGCAUGCAUGAGGCACUAGGUUCGAUCCUUAGCACCACA
rnacentral:tRNA from 1 species